rnacentral:rRNA from 1 species
UUGCUUAGAAGCAGCAAUCCUUUAAAGAAAGCGUAAUAGCUCACCAGUCGAGGUUAUAUGCCCCGAAAAUGGACGGGACUAAAUUAGCUACCGAUACAUAAGACACGCAUUUAGGUGCGUAGUGGUAGGCAGGCGUUCUGCUCGGACAGAAGCAUGUUUGUAAAGAUAUGUGGACCGUGUGGAAAUGAGAAUCCUGGUAAUAGUAGGACAUAAAUACAGUGAGAAUCUGUAAUACCGUAAGGGCUAGGGUUUCUUAGCAAUGUCAAUCAUCUAAGAGUCAGUCAGUCCUAACUGCAUUCCUAAUUGGAAGGGCAGGAAGGGGAAAAUGGUUAACAUUCCAUUACUACAUUUGUACGUGUGGCAACACAAGGUAUAUUUUUGACGCUUUCGGCUAGACUGACACAUACUAUCGUGUGUGUUAACAAAGAUAAAUGAGGGGAGUAUCGUAACGAUGAGAACCUGAUUAAACUUUGGAAUAGUAGUUCUUUAGAAUUGUUCAGUUGAUGCCAAGAGCCCCUGAAAAGAAAAUAUGCAAGGAUCAAAUGUAUCUGUACCAACAACCGGCACUGGUGUCCCUAGCUGAGAAGGCUAAGGUAUGCAGGAUUAAUCUAACUUAGGGAAAUCGACCAAUUAGCUCCGUAUCUUCGGUAGAAGGAGUCCCUGCGCUCGUAUACUUUUGUGUGCGAGUACAGGGUGCAAUAACUAGGGGGGUCCGACUGUUUAACAAAAACUUAACAUCUCGCGAGCCUGCAAAGGUGUGUAUGGGAUGUGAUAUCUGCCCAAUGCCAGUAUCUAAAACCUCUUUUCAAGGAGGCUAAGGACUGGUGAAUGGCGGGAAUAACUAUAAUUCUCUUAAGGUAGCGAAAUACCUUGUCGUUUGAUUGACGACGUGCAUGAAUGGUGUAACGAGACCUCUAUUGUCCCAAGUUAGAAUCCUCCGAAUAUACUAUUCUGGUGCGAAGGCCAGAGAUGUCCAGUGGGAAGCGAAGACCCCGUAGAACUUUACUGUAGCUUGUUGUUGUGAUGUAGAAAUGAGUGUAUAGCGUAGGUGGGAGUCGUUUGAUGGCAGUUUCGCCAGGGACUGUCUAGACAAAAGUGUAACACCACUCAUUUGUUUUUGCACCACUGACUUAUCUUUUAUGGUGAGGACAGCAGCUGGCGGACAGUUUGGCUGGGGCGGCACCCUGCUGAAAAGGUAUCAGCAGGGCCCUAAGGUAAGCUCAUCUGAUUUAGAAAUUCAGAGUAGAGUGCAAGAGCAAAAGCUUGCCUGACUGUAUUCCCAACACCACGGAAUGCAGAGACGAAAGUCGGGUCUAGCGAACCCCUGUGUCCUUAUUGAUGAGGGCCAGGGAUGACAGAAAAGCUAUCUCGGGGAUAAUUGAGUGGUAGCGCCUAAGAGCUCAAAUCGACGGCGCUGCUUGCUACUUCGAUGUCGGCUCAUCGCAUCCUGGAUGUGCAGAAGCACCCAAGGGUACGGGUGUUCACCGGUUAAAGCGGUUCGUGAGCUGGGUUAAGAACGUCGUGAGACAGUUUGUAUGAUAUCUACUGGAUAUGCUUUGAUGAUCUGAGAGGAAGGAUCUUUUAGUACGAGAGGAACAAAGGUUCGGCGCCACUAGUCGAUCGGUUGUCUGACAAGGCAGGCCGAGCAGCCACGCGCCAAGGGAUAAGUCCUGAAAGCAUCUAAGGACGAAACCUGCCUCAAAAAGAGAUCGAGAACGCUCGUAAAACACGAGGUUGAUAGGGUCGGGAUGUACGUGCCGAGGCAACGAGGCAUGAGUCUGCGACUACUAAUAGUUCAAACCUAACGAUU